UAAAGGAAAAGGCAGUGCCCAGGCAGCUUGUUUAUAUCACCUCCGAGAGCUGAUGGCGUGCUUAUCGCACACAGCACAAGGCUCAGUUGUCCAGACAAUCAUCUAAUUGUCUUUACUUGGUGGUGAAAGAUGAAUCCUCAUUCCUGAAAACAAAAGAGCUAAUACAAAAUGGAGGGAAGGCUGGAGAAGGCAAUGGGGAAUCAAUAGAGCUGCUGUGGGGCUGGAUGGCUUACAUGGGUCAAACCUUUGCCUGGAUGUGACAUAGCCAACCCUUGCACCAAGGAAUCUGUAAUAUAAGCAGAUGAAAG
ensembl:lncRNA